rnacentral:rRNA from 1 species
CCUACGGGUGGCUGCAGUGGGGAAUAUUGGACAAUGGGCGAAAGCCUGAUCCAGCCAUGCCGCGUGUGUGAAGAAGGCCUUCGGGUUGUAAAGCACUUUCAGUGGGGAAGAAAGCCUUGGGGCUAAUACACUCGAGGCAGGACAUCACCCACAGAAGAAGCACAGGCUAACUCCGUGCCAGCAGCGCGGUAAUACGGAGGGUGCGGCGUUAAUCGGAAUUACUGGGCGUAAAGCGCGCGUAGGCGGUCUGAUAAGCCGGUUGUGAAAGCCCCGGGCUCAACCUGGGAACGGCAUCCGGAACUGUCAGGCUAGAGUGCAGGGGAGGAAGGUAGGAUUCCCGGUGUAGCGGGGAAAUGCGUAGAGAACGGGAGGAAUACCAGUGGCGAAGGCGGCCUUCUGGACUGACACUGACGCUGAAGUGCGAAAGCGUGGGUAGCAAACAGGAUUAGAUACCCGUGGUAGUC